UGCAAUUUCAUAAUCAUACCUCUUUAUUCAAGGACUUAUAUUCAUACAAAAUCUAUAGGUUCAGUCGAAAUGACUGCAGGAGACAGUCAAGUAACAGAUCAGGCAGCGAAGGAUUCAGCCACUCCAGAACCUCUUUUCUGACAAAGAGCCUCGGUUCCACUUUGGUGGUUCUGUGAGAAGAAAAUGUUUUUCAAGCUUGUUUUUAUUUUCAUUUUUUCUUUUACCUGAAACCAAUACAUUUGUGUGUGUUGAGAUUAAUCAGAAAAUACAAAUUGUACAAAUCAUGGACUCAAUGAAGCCAAACAAUACCACUAUUAUUAUUAGUUUUUUUUUCUCUUUGUGUUUUUUCGCACAUGCACAGUUUCUUUUUCAGAACAUGCAAACAGGACAUGUCCAGAGGAGGGCAGCCAUAGAAAAGAGGAAAAACUUGGCACCCGGUUCAUGUGGGGCUCAGUGGAGGAAAUGUAGGAUCUUUAUCUUUUUAUAAAAUCUACCAUAGAUGAACAUAAACUUCUGUUCCAAUAUGGCAACUUACAAUGAGACAACAGGCAACCUGUUGGUACAAACAACAACCACACAAACAUUUAGACCCUUCAAGUCUAAACUGUCUCCACUUAGAUCCAUCAAUAGAUUGCACACUUAGAGAUGAAUAAAAUGAAAUCUACUAGUAUAGUGGGACAAAAUCAGAUUUGGAUAGAAGUAUUUGCAAAUAAUUUACGUGUUCAUAAACUUGCCAGGAUGAUAAAAUGAGCACCAAGGUCUGUAUUUCUACUGGUAAAAAUUAAACAAAAAUGCUAAAUAUCUGAGAAUAUUAACUUGUUCCAAUUAAAUCUGAAGGAUUUUGAGAUGUUUUGUGAACCAACUCUGACAAUCAGGACCAUAAUCAUUACUUGUAACAGUCUGAUGUACAGUUAUUUAUUAAGAAAUGUCUUUUUAACACAUUUAUCUAUGUAGCUCAAAGGAUAAGGUCAGCAAUUUCUCAUUUUUUUGUAUUUUUUAAACACAAAAAUAAGAACUGAAUCCACAAUUAACUGAUUUUUAAUGCCAUGAAUUACACGUUUAGCCAGAUCAGUUCUGCAUAAUCCACUAUUUCGUCCUGUUUGAGUUGCGUUUGGGAAAACAACAGUUCUUCAGCCAUUUUAGGAAAUGAUACCAGUAUCAUCUUUGUUGUCGCCCCAUAAAAUGCUUUAAAAUAUCCGCAUUGGCCUUAAAGUUCACAGUUCGAUUUGAAAACGUUGCAUAAAUCAAAGUCAGUUG
ensembl:lncRNA